rnacentral:piRNA from 1 species
UACCUUUGGAAUCGAUUACAA